UUGGAGGGCAAGUCUGGUGCCAGCAGCCGCGGUAAUUCCAGCUCCAAUAGCGUAUAUUAAAGUUGUUGCAGUUAAAAAGCUCGUAGUUGAAUUUCGGGGUUAGCAGGUCGGUCGUGCCAAUGGUAUGCACUGGCUCGCUGACUCCUCCUUCUUGUAGAACCGUAAUGCCAUUAAUUUGGUGUUGCGGGGAAACAGGACUGUUACCUUGAAAAAAUUAGAGUGUUUAAAGCAGGCUAGCGCCUGAAUACAUUAGCAUGGAAUAAUGAAAUAGGACGUUCGAACCUAUUUUGUUGGUUUCUAGGAUUGACGUAAUGAUUAAUAGGGAUAGUUGGGGGCAUUAGUAUUCAAUUGUCAGAGGUGAAAUUCUUGGAUUCAUUGAAGACUAACUACUGUGAAAGCAUUUGCCAAGGAUGUUUUCAUUAAUCAAGAACGAAAGUUAGGGGAUCGAAGACGAUCAGAUACCGUCGUAGUCUUAACCAUAAACUAUGCCGACUAGGGAUCGGAUGAUGUUAAUUUUUUAAUGACUCAUUCGGCGCCUUACGGGAAAC
rnacentral:rRNA from 1 species